rnacentral:rRNA from 1 species
UCUGACGGAGCACGCCGCGUGAGUGAUGAAGGUUUUCGGAUCGUAAAGCUCUGUUGUUAGGGAAGAACAAGUGCGAGAGUAACUGCUCGCACCUUGACGGUACCUAACCAGAAAGCCACGGCUAACUACGUGCCAGCAGCCGCGGUAAUACGUAGGUGGCAAGCGUUGUCCGGAAUUAUUGGGCGUAAAGGGCUCGCAGGCGGUUUCUUAAGUCUGAUGUGAAAGCCCCCGGCUCAACCGGGGAGGGUCAUUGGAAACUGGGAAACUUGAGUGCAGAAAAGGAGAGUGGAAUUCCACGUGUAGCGGUGAAAUGCGUAAAGAUGUGGAGGAACACCAGUGGCGAAGGCGACUCUCUGGUCUGUAACUGACGCUGAGGAGCGAAAGCGUGGGGAGCGAACAGGAUUAAAUACCCUGGUAGUCCACGCCGUAAACAAUGAGUGCUAAGUGUUAGGGGGUUUCCGCCCCUUAGUGCUGCAGCUAACGCAUUAAGCACUCCGCCGGGGGAGUACGGUCGCAAGACUGAAACUCAAAGGAAUUGACGGGGGCCCGCACAAGCGGUGGAGCAUGUGGUUUAAUUCGAAGCAACGCGAAGAACCUUACCAGGUCUUGACAUCCUCUGACAACCCUAGAGAUAGGGCUUUCCCUUCGGGGACAGAGUGACAGGUGGUGCAUGGUUGUCGUCAGCUCGUGUCGUGAGAUGUUGGGUUAAGUCCCGCAACGAGCGCAACCCUUGAUCUUAGUUGCCAGCAUUCAGUUGGGCACUCUAAGGUGACUGCCGGUGACAAACCGGAGGAAGGUGGGGAUGACGUCAAAUCAUCAUGCCCCUUAUGACCUGGGCUACACACGUGCUACAAUGGACAGAACAAAGGGCUGCAAGACCGCAAGGUUUAGCCAAUCCCAUAAAUCUGUUCUCAGUUCGGAUCGCAGUCUGCAACUC